rnacentral:rRNA from 1 species
AGUGAACGCUGGCGGUAGGCCUAACACAUGCAAGUCGAACGGCAGCACAGUAAGAGCUUGCUCUUACGGGUGGCGAGUGGCGGACGGGUGAGGAAUACAUCGGAAUCUACUUUUUCGUGGGGGAUAACGUAGGGAAACUUACGCUAAUACCGCAUACGACCUACGGGUGAAAGCAGGGGAUCUUCGGACCUUGCGCGAUUGAAUGAGCCGAUGUCGGAUUAGCUAGUUGGCGGGGUAAAGGCCCACCAAGGCGACGAUCCGUAGCUGGUCUGAGAGGAUGAUCCGCCACCGGGGGUGUGACACCCUGCCCAGUCCCCUGCGGGUGACCGGGGUGGGAAAUGUGGGACUAGGGGGGAACCUCUUACCACCCCAUGCCGCGUGGGGAAAAAAGGCCUUGGGUUUGAAAACCCCUUUUUGGGGGAAAAAAGAGCCAGGGUUUAAUCCCCCGUUGUUGUGGGGGUCCCCAAAAAAAGCACCCCCGAACUCUUCG